GACGAACGCUGGCGGCGUGCUUAACACAUGCAAGUCGAGCGGUAAGGCCCUUUCGGGGGUACACGAGCGGCGAACGGGUGAGUAACACGUGGGUGACCUGCCCUUAGCUCUGGGAUAAGCCUGGGAAACUGGGUCUAAUACCGGAUAUGACUCCAUGACGCAUGUUGUGGGGUGGAAAGCCUUGUGCGGCUAGGGAUGGGCCCGCGGCCCUAUCAGCUUGUUGGUGGGGUGANGGCCUACCAAGGCGACGACGGGUAGCCGGCCUGAGAGGGCGACCGGCCACACUGGGACUGAGACACGGGCCCAGACUCCUACGGGAGGCAGCAGUGGGGAAUCUUGCGCAAUGGGCGAAAGCCUGACGCAGCGACGCCGCGU
rnacentral:rRNA from 1 species